rnacentral:rRNA from 1 species
GAUGAACGCUGGCGGCGUGCCUAAUACAUGCAAGUCGAGCGAACAGACGAGGAGCUUGCUCCUCUGACGUUAGCCGCGCACGGGUGUGUAACACGUGUAUAACCUACCUAUAAGACUGGGAUAACUUCGGAAAACCGGAGCUAAUCCCGGAUAAUAUAUUGAACCGCAUGGUUCAAUAGUGAAAGACGGUUUUGCUGUCUCUUAUAGAUGGAUCUGCGCCGCAUUAGCUAGUUGUUACGGUAACGGCUUACCAAGGCUACGAGGCGUAGCCGACCGGAGAGAGGGGUCGGCGGCACUGGAAGUGGGACGCGGUCCAGGCGACUACGGGAGGCAGCAGUCGGGUAUCUGCCGCAGUGGGCGAAAGCCUGGCGGAGCAACGCCGCGUGAGUUAUGGAGGUCUUGGGAUCGUAAAACUCUGUUAUUAGGGAAGAACAAAUGUGUAAGUAGAUAUGCACGUCUUGACGGUACCUAAUCAGAAAGCCACGGCUAACUACGUG